rnacentral:rRNA from 1 species
CGUAGGGUGCAGGCGUUAAUCGGAAUUACUGGGCGUAAAGCGUGCGCAGGCGGUCUUUUAAGUCAGAUGUGAAAUCCCCGGGCUUAACCUGGGAACUGCGUUUGAAACUGGAAGGCUAGAGUGUGGCAGAGGGGGGUGGAAUUCCACGUGUAGCAGUGAAAUGCGUAGAGAUGUGGAGGAACACCGAUGGCGAAGGCAGCCCCCUGGGCUAACACUGACGCUCAUGCACGAAAGCGUGGGGAGCAAACAGGAUUAGAUACCCUGGUAGUCCACGCCCUAAACUAUGCCAACUGGUUGUCGGGGAAGCAAUUCCUUGGUAACGAAGCUAACGCGUGAAGUUGACCGCCUGGGGAGUACGGCCGCAAGGUUA